rnacentral:rRNA from 1 species
CCUACGGGAGGCAGCAGUGAGGAAUAUUGGUCAAUGGGCGUGAGCCUGAACCAGCCAAGUCGCGUGAGGGAAGACGGUCCUAUGGAUUGUAAACCUCUUUUGUCGGGGAGUAAUGCCGGGCACGUGUGCCCGGAGGCAGAUUACCCGCAGAAUAAGCAUCGGCUAACUCCGUGCCGGCAGCCGCGGUAAUACGGAGGAUGCGAGCGUUAUCGGGAUUUUUUGGGUUAAAGGGGUGCGAAGGCGGAUUUUUAAGUCAGCGGUAAAAUGUCCGGGCUCAACCCGGGCCGGCCGUUGAAACUGGGGAUCUUGAGUGGGCGAGAAGUAUGCGGAAUGCGUGGUGUAGCGGUGAAAUGCAUAGAUAUCACGCAGAACUCCGAUUGCGAAGGCAGCAUACCGGCGCCCGACUGACGCUGAGGCACGAAAGCGUGGGGAUCGAACAGGAUUAGAUACCCCGGUAGUC